rfam:Triticum aestivum genome assembly, contig: Triticum_aestivum_CS42_TGACv1_scaffold_543010_6DS
AAAGUACUCCCUCCGUCCCAAAAUUCUUGUCUUAGAUUUGUCUAGAUACGGAUGUAUCAAGUCACAUUUUAGUAUUAGAUACAUCUGUAUCUAGACAAAUCUAAGACAAGAAAUUUGGGACAGAGGGAUUAGUUG